CAACUCCUCCAUACCCUUGAUUUAUUCAACUUUUACAUCAAUUUCUAGCUUUUCUUUUCCCAGAAAAAAAAUGAAUAUUUUCAUCUUCCCGAUUCUGAGUAUUUUGUUCAUGGCAAUUUCUCAUAUGGCUCAUGCUCAGAAUUUGAAUCUUUCUCCAGCACCUGCUCCUACCAGUGAUGGCACUAAUCUAGAUCAAGGAAUUGCUUAUUUCCUUAUGGUGAUAGCGUUGGUGAUUACAUACAUGCUCCAUUGAUUUUUUUUCCUCUUUUUCUUUUUAAUCUUUGCCGAUUAAAAUUCCAUAAAUUUUCUGUAUGUGUAUAUUAUUAUUGAUGAAAUUUAGUAUUAAUAAAAUUCUUUGACAUA